rnacentral:rRNA from 1 species
UACGAAGGGGGCUAGCGUUGUUCGGAAUUACUGGGCGUAAAGGGCGCGUAGGCGGUGUGUCAAGUCAGGCGUGAAAGCCCCGGGCUCAACCUGGGAACCGCGCUUGAGACUGGCACGCUAGAGUUCGGGAGAGGAUGGUGGAAUUCCCAGUGUAGAGGUGAAAUUCGUAGAUAUUGGGAAGAACACCGGUGGCGAAGGCGGCCAUCUGGCCUGUAAUUGACGCUGAGGCGCGAAAGCGUGGGGAGCAAACAGG